UACGUAGGGUGCAAGCGUUGUCCGGAUUUAUUGGGCGUAAAGAGCUCGUAGGCGGUUUGUCGCGUCUGCUGUGAAAACUGGGGGCUCAACCCCCAGCCUGCAGUGGGUACGGGCAGACUAGAGUGCGGUAGGGGAGAUUGGAAUUCCUGGUGUAGCGGUGGAAUGCGCAGAUAUCAGGAGGAACACCGAUGGCGAAGGCAGAUCUCUGGGCCGUAACUGACGCUGAGGAGCGAAAGCAUGGGGAGCGAACAGG
rnacentral:rRNA from 1 species